rnacentral:lncRNA from 1 species
GGGGGAGAAGGCGAUGUCGGAGGACCCGUACAUGAGGUCGUCGCUGACGGUGGAGACGAGACGCGAUGCGAAGACAUGGUCGUGCGUGCGCAUGGUCGUCUCCGCGGCCUGCGGGGAUGAGACGAUGAGAGUGGUGGCGGCGCCGAGAUGGAGGAGCAUGAGGCCGUCGCGGCCAUGCUUGGCGGAGAGGUCACGGAGGGUGAUGUGCGGGAGGUCGCCGCCGAUGAGGUGAAGGUGGCCGAUGAUGGGAAGCCCCGGAGGCGAAGGCGGAAGCUGCUGCUGCUGCUGCUUGUCGUCGCUGCAGCUGCUGCUGCCAUGACGACGGCGGUCUGACCUUGACCGUCGGGAGGAGUAGUAGUGAAGCAGGAGCAGGAGAGGAACGAGGAGCAAUAGGAGCCAUUGUGCCAGGACUAACGAUGAAGAGGUGAGUUGGAAUGCCACCUCCAGGU